CUCAAUUUUCUUCGCGGGGGAACUCGACCCCCGCAAUCGCUGAUCGUCGCGUUCAUCGACGAGCUGCGGGCCGAGGGCCACGCGGUCGAGUCGAUCUGCCGGGUCCUGCGCGAGCAGGGCUGCCAGAUCGCCGCG
rfam:Nocardioides sp. JS614, complete genome.